rnacentral:rRNA from 1 species
CCCCAGACUCCUACGGGAGGCAGCAGUGGGGAAUAUUGCACAAUGGGGGAAACCCUGAUGCAGCAACGCCGCGUGAAGGAAGACGGUUUUCGGAUUGUAAACUUCUGUUCUUAGUGAAGAAGAAUGACGGUAGCUAAGGAGCAAGCCACGGCUAGCUACGUGCCAGCAGCCGCGGUAAUACGUAGGUGGCAAGCGUUGUCCGGAAUUACUGGGUGUAAAGGGAGCGUAGGCGGGAUGGCAAGUUGGGUGUUAAAUCUACCGGCUCAACUGGUAGUCGCACUCAAAACUGCUAUUCUUGAGUGAAGUAGAGGCAGGCGGAAUUCCUAGUGUAGCGGUGAAAUGCGUAGAUAUUAGGAGGAACACCAGUGGCGAAGGCGGCCUGCUGGGCUUUUACUGACGCUGAGGCUCGAAAGUGUGGGGAGCAAACAGGAUUAGAUACCCCCGUAC